CCCAAUUGAACACCAAGAUAGUUUUCCCCAAAUUUCGACAAUCUAAUUUCACCCAAAAAGAGUAUGGAAAAACCCUAGAAAUUGGGGAUUUUUGGGCUGAUUCCUUAAGAUAGAAAAAGGCUGAAAACACAAUAAGAACAGAAAAUAGAUUAGAUAAUGAUUCAGCACAAGUAGAAAUAAAGAAAGAAUUGACAGUAAGAAAUUAAAAGAUAAGUUCUAAGAAGCCUUGAAAUCUCGAAAGAUCUCACAACUCCCUUCAAACGGCUCUAAUCUCCCCUCCAAAGAAUAUCAAUGGCAAGAAGAAGGUUGAAGAUG
rnacentral:lncRNA from 1 species